rnacentral:rRNA from 1 species
AGAAUGAACGCUGGCGGCGUGCUUUACACAUGCAAGUCGAGCGAGGCGUGUAGCAAUACACAGUCGAGCGGCGAACGGGUGAGUAACACGUGGAUCAUCUACCUUCAGGUGGGGGAUAACCCGGGGAAACUCGGGCUAAUACCGCAUAACAUCGUGAGAUCGAAAGGGGCGCAAGUCCCGCCAGAAGAGGAGUCCGCGUUCGAUUAGCUAGUUGGUAGGGUAAUGGCCUACCAAGGCGACGAUCGAUAGCCGCUGAGAGGGUGAUCGGCACGACUGACUGAGACACGGUCAGACUCCUACGGGAGCAGCAGUAGGGUAAUUUGCGACAAUGGGACGAAGCCUAGACGC